UACGAAGGGGGCUAGCGUUGUUCGGAAUUACUGGGCGUAAAGGGCUCGUAGGCGGCCAACUAAGUCAGACGUGAAAUCCCUCGGCUUAACCGGGGAACUGCAUCUGAUACUGGAUGGCUUGAGUUCGGGAGAGGGAUGCGGAAUUCCAGGUGUAGCGGUGAAAUGCGUAGAUAUCUGGAGGAACACCGGUGGCGAAGGCGGCAUCCUGGACCGAGAUUGACACUGAUGAGCGAAAGCCAGGGGAGCAAACGGG
rnacentral:rRNA from 1 species